UUUCGGGAGUAAAGUUUUGUUUAAACCGAAAAAAUAUUGACUGACUUUAGAUUUUUCUUUGGAAUAUGUGAUUUUGUUGGAGAGCCCUCUUUUUUGGUAAAUUUUGUUGGCACAUGUAUGAUUGUUUAGUUUUUAUUUUAUUUUGUAAUGCUUUUUUUGUUUUGGCAUUUAAAACAGAUAUAUAUUUGGUUUAUAAAUUUAUUUUUCAUGUGUUACUAUUAUAAAUUUUUUUUGGAUUAAUUUUUUAUUUUUUUUUGAAAUUGGAAAAGAAAGUAAUUUUUUCUUUAUGUUUUAAUGAAUUUAAUAAAUAAGGUGGUACAA
rnacentral:rRNA from 1 species